GACGAACGCUGGCGGCGUGCUUAACACAUGCAAGUCGAGCGGCAGCGCGGGAGCAAUCCUGGCGGCGAGCGGCGAACGGGUGAGUAAUGCUUCGGAAUCUGCCCUUCAGUGGGGAAUAACCAGUCGAAAGACUGGCUAAUACCGCAUACGAACUGAGGUUGAAAGCAGGGGAUCGCAAGACCUUGCGCUGAUGGAUGAGCCGAAGUCGGAUUAGCUAGUUGGUAGGGUAACGGCCUACCAAGGCGACGAUCCGUAGCUGGUCUGAGAGGACGACCAGCCACACUGGGACUGAGACACGGCCCAGACUCCUACGGGAGGCAGCAGUGGGGAAUAUUGGACAAUGGGGGCAACCCUGAUCCAGCGACGCCGCGUGUGUGAAGAAGGCCUUCGGGUUGUAAACCGCUUUUGUCAGGGAAGAAAAGUUCCGGGUUAAUACCCUGGGAUGCUGACGGUACCUGAAGAAUAAGCACCGGCUAACUACGUGCCAGCAGCCGACGGUAAAA
rnacentral:rRNA from 1 species